GGACCCGCACAAGUAGUGGAGCAUGUGGUUUAAUUCGAAGAUACGCGCAGAACCUUACCAACACUUGACAUGUUUGUCGCGACUUUAAGAGAUUAAAGUCUUCGGUUCGGCCGGACAAAACACAGGUGCUGCAUGGCUGUCGUCAGCUCGUGUCGUGAGAUGUUGGGUUAAGUCCCGCAACGAGCGCAACCCUCACUUUUAGUUGCCAUCAUUUAGUUGGGCACUCUGAAAGAACUGCCGGUGAUAAGCUGGAGGAAGGUGGGGAUGACGUCAAGUCCUCAUGGCCCUUACGUGUUGGGCUACACACGUGCUACAAUGGCAUUUACAAUAGGAAGCAAGAUGGCGACAUCAAGCAAAUCCUAAAAAGAUGCCUCAGUUCGGAUUGUACUCUGCAACUCGAGUACAUGAAGUCGGAAUCGCUAGUAAUCGC
rnacentral:rRNA from 1 species